rnacentral:tRNA from 2 species
GGGCCUGUAGCCUAGCCAGGAUAGGGCGCGAGGCUUCGGACCUCGUAGUCUGGGGUUCGAAUCCCCACAGGCCCG